UACAGAGGUUGCAAACGUUGUUCGGAAUUACUGGGCGUAAAGCGCACGUAGGCGGUCCGUUAAGUCAUGUGUGAAAUCCCCCGGCUCAACCGGGGAAUUGCGCCUGAUACUGGCGGGCUAGAGGUCGAUAGGGGUGAGCGGAACUCCAGGUGUAGCGGUGAAAUGCGUAGAUAUCAGGAGGAACACCGAUGGCGAAGGCAGGUCUCUGGGCCACUACUGACGCUGAGAAGCGAAAGCGUGGGGAGCGAACAGG
rnacentral:rRNA from 1 species